UAAUAUUUGAAUUGGCGCAAGAAAAAGGUUAUUUAUUCGUGGCCAAAUUACAAGAUCACCAUCUAACAUGGGCUCUUCGAAUUGAAAUAACAUAUUGCGUUGUCGCCCAAAUUACACUCAACUUAAGUUUUUUAUGGAGGUCAACCAUGGCCAGAUGCUGAAUCUCUUUAGAUCUCUAACUACUAAAGACGGAACGAAGUAAUUGCUGAAGCAUUCAUGAUACCAAAUUACAAUAUAUGUAAAAGAAGAAACGAAGUACUAGGAAACUAAUCAUACAACAAGAAAACAAAAUGGCAAUUAAAUGACCCUUUCAAUUAAAUUACAACUAUAAUAACAAUACAAUUACAAAAUCCUACUCAUACAAUUUACCGCACUAAAUAAAUUGCUAUACAACUAUAAAAUUAAAAAUUAAUGUCACUUGGACUAAAUAGCGCAAACAACAGGGAUGUCCAAUGUUUGUUUCACUUAGUCACAACUCAAUUCAGGCUUGAAAUCCAUCCAGUGACGGAUUUGAUCAACUGGUAAUCACAUCCGACGACUGGCAUAACUUUGGCUUCCACGUGCUAACACCAAAUCAAAAUUACUUCAUUCACUUCAAGAGCCAAUACUAAAUGAGGAAAUAAUAUGCAUUUAGUCGUAUACUUAAUACUUAAGGAUUCUGUGUCACGGCUGAACUAGUGUUUCCAUAACAUUUUACAUCUUUAACUUUAAACGAAGGUAAUUAAAGCAUAAAACAUAACAGGGGGAAAUUGUCAUUAAUCAUGUGAAUCGGACUUGUACAUUUGAUACCCCACAAUGAACUACCAAGCUAACACUACUGCAGCAGUCCAUAUUCAGAACAAAUAGAAAGAAAUAUAAGAAAAUUAAGCUAAGCUAAACAGUUUCAAAAGUGCAGAAACAUUAAAUAAACAACUACAUUAAUACGAAUCUCUACUCAUGUACCAAUCGUCAUAUUCAUCCAUUUUCAUACAUUAGAAGGUGAGAUGAAUACCUGGCAAAAUGAAAUAAGAAAGGAGGAGAAGUUCAGCAAUAGGCAGUAGUAGGAACAAUAUUCAGCAAACAAAUCACCUAGAAAUAACGAAGGAAAACCAAUUUUACACCAGGUUUGAACCAGCAAUAGUAUCAAAUAAAGCUCAGAAUCAGAACAUAGCCAACACCUGAACCCAAACACUUGAAUACCAACAAAAAUUCAAGUCAUUUUAACCUUCAGUUAUUCUGAAAUUAUUUCAGAAGUGGAGGUCUCAAGGAUUUCAAAAUCUUCUAAUCGAACACUAAAAAAUUUUCGUUUUAGUUUUCUGAGUUUUUUUCUCUUCUCUCUCUGAAUUGAGCCUCAAGUAACCAUGCCUUUAUAGGCAAGUUACUAGGGCAGCAAAUAUCAGCCAAGUUUUUGCACUUUUGAUCCCACUUAAUUUUUUUUUUGCUAGUUAGCCACUCGUUUUUUGACUCGCUAGCCAAGUAAGUAUUCUUUUCAGCUUCUAGGAAGCUUCUUAGGUAGUUACUGCAAGAUUCCUUUAGCUAAUCUACCCAAAGUGCCCCUUAGCUACACUAAAAUUGCCCCUUAGUCUCAAAUGGGCCGGGGGUAAACCGACCCAAUGGUUACAAAGACCUGGGCUCAGACUAAAACAAAAUUUUCCAAGCAAAAAGCUUGGAACUGUUUCUUAAAACAACAGUAACAAAAGGCAAGAUUAAAGAGUUAAACUCCGAUGAAAGUAAAUUUAUUAAGGACCCAACUUCACUUAGAUAAGCAAUUAACUGAUAAGGAAAAAUUUAAGCUUAUUAAAUAGAACAAUUAAAACAACCAAAGAAGCAGAUUAAAGAAACCUCAAUUAACAGAGGAACAGAAGAAGGACCUAGUGGGUUGCGUAUCAAUUUAUAUACAUUUCAACAAUAUCAAAUCGUUAAAUAGCAAUAUUUAGCACAUUAGGCACAAGCAUGUAAAUAAAACCAGAUAAUAAAUAAAACCAAAUAUAAUAAUUAUUCUAAGCUCAAAUUCUGAAUCCUGAACCGGAGAUUCUGGAAUCGAUCCCUAGUAGAGUCACCAGAGUUGUCACACCUCCUUUUGUCACUAUACCCCCGGAAGGGUGUAUUAAGGGAGUUUUUCCACUUUAAGUGACAAUCGAAACAUGAUUAUUUAUUAAAAACUCAAAGUCGCCACAUGGGAUAAUUUAUGGUAUCCCAAGUCACCAGUUUAAAUCCCAAAUCGAGGAAAAGGUUGACUCUGAAUUACAGUCCACGAACCAGAAAUCCGGGUAAGGAAUUCUGUUACCCGGGAGAAGGUGUUAGGCAUUCCCGAGUUUCGUGGUUCUAGCACGGUCGCUCAACUGUUACAAUUGGCAUAAUUAUCAUAUUUAAAAAUAUUUUGUACCUAUGUGCAGUUUUUAACUUUUAGUUGUUUUUAUUCAUUCUUAAAGAAGAUUUGACGUCGUCUAAAAUAUACCUUUGGAUCGCGCCACAUGAAAUGCACCCGCAAUCCGAAACACAUUUUAUUCGAAGUUAUCAAGAUUUGGAUUUGGGUCGCAUGAAAUGCGCACUCGAGUUUAGGAAGAUAAUUUUAAUUACGCGCCUAAAGAAAUUACGCAUUUUCAAGUUUGUGAGGACCAUGGAAAAUUCAACUAAUGGCACACCUCGGUUCUAAUUUCAAAGGAUUGUACUCAAAUAAAGCAAACUACGAAUGUUUAAAAUUAUUUAAACUAUUUGGGAUGAUUGUAAAAGGGAAAUGAUUAUGGAAAUUAGAUGUUGUGGAGCAAAUGUACGAUUCAACGGUUAAAAUCUAAAGAUGAUCAUAAUUAAUUGCCUAAUAUUUGAAUUGGCGCAAGAAAAAGGUUACUUAUUCGUGGCCAAAUUACAAGAUGAACAUGGGCUCUUCCAAUUGAAAUAAUAUAUUGGGUUGUGGCCCCAAAAUUACACUCAACUUUAGUCUUUUAUGGAGGUUAACCAUGGCCAAAUAUUGAUCUCUUUAGAUCUCUAACUACUGAAGAUGGAACGAAAUAAUUGUUGAGGCAUUCAUGAUACAAAAUUGCAAUAUAGGUAAAAAGAGAAAUCAAGUGCUCGGAAACUAAUCAUACAACAAGAAAACAAAAAUGGCAAUUAAAUGGACUUUUCAAUUAAAUUACAACUAUAAUAACAAUACAAUUACAUAAUCCUACUCAUACAAUUAAUCGCACAAAAUGAAUUGCUAUACAACUACAAAAUUAACAAUUAAUGUCACCUGGACUAAAUAGCGCAAACAACAAGAAUGUCCAAUGUUUGUUUCACUUAGUCACAACUCAAUUCAGGCUUGAAAUCCAUCCAGUGACGGAUUUGAUCAACUGGUAAUCACAUCCGACGACUGGCAUAACUUUGGCUUCCACGUGCUAACACCAAAUCAAAAUUACUUCAUUCACUUCAAGAGCCAAUACUAAAUGAGGAAAUAAUAUGCAUUUAGUCGUAUACUUAAUACUUAAGGAUUCUGUGUCACGGCUGAACUAGUGUUUCCAUAACAUUUUACAUCUUUAACUUUAAACGAAGGUAAUUAAAGCAUAAAACAUAACAAGGGCAAAUUGUCCUUAAUCAUGUGAAUCAUACUUGCAUAUUUGAUACCCAACAAUGAACUACCAAGCUAACACUACUACAGCAGUCCAUAUUCAGAACAAACAAAAAGAAAUAUAUAAAAAUUAAGCUAAGCUAAAAAGUUUCGAAAGUGCAGAAACAGGAAUAAACAACUGCAUUAGUACGAAUCUCUAGUCAAGUGAACUAAUCUUCAUAUUCAUUCAUUUCCAUACAUUGGAAGGUGAGAUGAAUAUCUGGCAGAAUAAAAUAAGAAAGGAGGAGAAGUUCAGCAAUAGGCAGUAGCAAGAACAAUAUUCAGCAACCAAAUCACCUAGAAAUAACCGGAAAACCAAUUUUACACCAGGUUUGAACCAACAAUAGUAUCAAAUAAAGCUCAGAAUCAUAACACGGCCAACACCUGAACCCAAACACUUGAAUACCAACAAAAAUUCAAGUCUUUUUAACCAUCAGUUAUUCAGUAAUUAUUUCAGAAGUGGAGGUCUCAAGGAUUUCAAAAUCGUCUAAAGGAAUAGUUAAAUUUUUUUGUUUUAGAUUUUUGAGUUUUUUUUUCUCUUCUCUCUCUGAAUUGAGCCACAAGUAACCAUGCCUUUAUAUGCAAGUUACUAAGGCAAGAAAUAUUCAGCCAAGUUUUUGCACUUUUGAUCCCUUUUAAUUUUCCUUUUGUUAGUUAGCCCCUCAUUUUUGACUUGCUAGCCAAGUAAGUAUACUUUUCAACUUUCAGGAAGCUUCUUAGGUAGUUACUGCAAGAUUCCUUUACAUAAUCUACCAAAAAUGCCCCUUAGCUACCCUGAAAUUAUCCCUUAGCCUCAAAUGGUUUAGGGGUUAACCGACCCAAUGGUUACACAGAUUUGGGGUCAGACUAAAAUAAAAUUUUCCAAGCAAAGAGCCUGGAACUGUGUCUUAAAACAACAGCAACAAAAGGCAAGAUUAAAGAGUUAACCUCCGAUGACAGUAAAUUUAUUAAGGAUCUAACUUCACUUAGCUAAGCAAUUAACUGGUAAAGAAAUAUUUAAACUUUUAAACACAACAAUUAAAACAAUAAAACAAGCAGAUUAAAGAAACCUCAAUUAAUAUAGGAACAGAAGAAGGACCUAGUUCGAACCCAAAACCCCACACGAAUUUUUGAUUAAACCAAUUGAAAGAAAAUCAUAAGGGGCGAAAAAGAACUUACCAAAUCCUUCUCAAACCAAACGGAAAUGGAAAACUCGACCAAGCUGAUAUUGACCCUGUUGUUCUUUGUCAAGAACAAUUGAAUCGACAUCAAUCUUGCCAAGUCAGGAUCACCAACUUUGCAAGAACUUAUUGCAUGCUACCGGGCUCUAAGGGAAAUGAUUUUGGGCUUUUGAGUUGGACUUCGAAUUAUAAUAUUCGACGAGUUCUAUGUCGAUUCAAAGGAUAUGGGUAGAGAUUUGGAAUAAGGAGGACCUGGUGGUCAUCUAGUGUUAUUUUGGGGUCGACCAGAGGCGGCAGUGCCACCAGAGAAAUUGUGGAGGUGCUAGGGUUCAUAACUUCAAGCCAAGAUUCAAGGAGUUUGGGUAAGUUUUGAGGGGAGCUAGUUGUGGAUUCAAAAUGAGGAGGCAAAGGAGGGAUUGUGGUGUAAUUUCGGUGGUCAUUGAACGUCGGCCGCCGCCAUAGGCGAUUUUCGGCGGGCGGCAGGAGGUUGCUCAGGGCGGUGAUAAUGAAGGGGUCUCUGAGAGACGGAAGGGAUGAGGUGGAGGAGGUUAUGAGGGGGGUAGGUGUUCAGACAUAUAUAUGCUUAGGAGUCCUUAGCUUCAGGACCGUUAGAUCUCCAAAACCUCAACGGCCA
rnacentral:lncRNA from 1 species